CAAAUAAUAAAAAUUCAGUCCAAACUACAGCGACCACAUCAAUGACAAAUGAAAAGUGAACUUCAAAGAAACUGAAAAAAAGGGCUGAUUCUACUUAGGCAAGCAGUGAAACCAAAACACUACCCCUCCCAUUCACAAUCUUUACAAGUCAAAUAAUAAAAAUUCAGUCCAAACUACAGCGACCACAUCAAUGACAAAUGAAAAGUGAACUUCAAAGAAACUGAAAAAAAGGGCUGAUUCUACUUAGGCAAGCAGUGAAACCAAAACACUACCCCUCC
rnacentral:misc_RNA from 1 species